ACUGCCGCAAUUUGUUCUCAUCUUUUACUUAUGAAUGACAGCAACUGAGGCUACUGCUUAGAUAGAUGGUAUAAAUGAACAGAGUUUAUAAUGAGUUACAAGACACAAGCGGUUUCUGGUUUAUUCUAUAAAACAGGAACUAAUCCUGAGUGUUACUGGGGAGCAAACGGUUCUCCCAUUUGUCUCCUGACAUGGAGAAAAAAUAGCAAGGAACUCUAUUACUUAAAUACUUUAGGGUUUCUUGGGGAAAAAAAAAUAAAAGAUCUUUGCAACAUCUAGACAUUUUUCUGUUUUCCUGCAGAAUAUUCCCACUUUUUCCAUGCAGUAUCAAAGCAAAAAUUGAAAACAAACAAACAACAACAACAAAAAAGAAUAAAAAAGAAAAAGCUUGCUGUUUAAAGGGUGGUGUUUUUUGUAGAAGUGUGUUAUCGAGUGAUGUUAUCAGAACACAAUAAUGAGAACAUUUAGCAAAAGAGGUAACUUCCUUUAUAUGGGGAGCUUCGCGGAAGUCAACAACACCUUGCUUAAGUGCUUGCAAUUCUAGGCAUUCAGUGCUAUUCUGAGUCACUGAGGUUUAUGUGAAUUAUGUCCACUCUAGAAAUACAUUAUCUGAAGAUUUUUUAAUAUUUAUAUUGACACUUGCAAUACACAGUUAUGGUAUAAAUUUUAUGAACACCAGAGAGCAACAUGCCUUUCCCAAACAUACACAUUCCCACAUUCAUCGUGCAUUGACAUUUGUGCAGACUGCUUCUGUUCCUAUCACAGUAACUAUAUCUGGGCUUAGUCCUGCACGCAAUCAGCCACCUCAUUGAUUCCUCCUGUGUGCAAGUUCUCACGCUAGUUGGAGGCCCCAUCCUCACCAAAAAUUGUGUGUGAGCACUCUCCCUGUGCAGAGGAUCUUUGUGAGUUGCAGUUUUCACAUGAGGGACUUCACAUGACACUUAAAACUGAGAAAAAAAACUCAUCCACUACAUUGUGUCAGUGAAUCUUUCAUUGAGAAUAAACUUGCAGACAGAUAAAUAAAUUAAGAAUUAAUUAGCAGAGCAUGUAAGUAGCUGCAUUAACUUUUAAAUACGGCGAGACUUAGGAAUUAAAUUCGGGCUUCUAAGUCAGUGCAAUGCCCACAGCUGGGACAUUUGUUUUUGUUAGCCUACACAUGGACACUCUCAGUAGGUCUGGUCUAACACAAGUAUGUGGUCCUGUCUGAAAACAGACCACUCUUCAUAAAAUAGUAAAGCUGCUUCCUCCAAGUAUCAGUGCAGCAGCCAUGAAAUACUUUGUUUAGGAGCACUGAUCAGUAUUUCUGAUAGAGAUGCAUGCUUCCUGCUUGCAUCAUAUAUUAAAAUACAACACCAUGGUGUUUUUAUAAAUUGCGGUACGUGAGGAUGCAGGAAUAGAAAUAUAGUCUGCUGUACAUGUAUUGCUCAUAACAUAAAGAAUAUAUACAGAACUACUUGUGGAAUAAACAUCUCAGUUGCGUGUUGAAAACAAGCACAUGGGCAAUGCUUUUAAAUGUGAUUGCACAGCUUAAUGCUGUUCAGCCUCAGCUGAGCCUCAGCUGCCAAAAGCUUUCUUUAGCCCUCUCCUACCAAAGAAAGCAGCCAGGUGCAUCUAGGGCACUUGCAUGGAAAAACAAGUGGCUCCUAAUUAGACUUCAAAGCCCAGGGACCAGCCUGAAGAGCACUGAGCAGCUGCAGGAGAGGACAGCACUCAUGGGAAGCAGAGCAUGAAGGGCUGCACAUCCCCUAGGAGUGAGGCCAGGGGUGAGCAGCCGGGUACUGCUGCAAGGGCAGAAGGGAGCAAAGAGGGGAGGUGCUAUAGAGAGUAGGAGUGAUGCGGGAAACAGCAGGCAAGGAAAUAAAUUCAUGUGGGAGAGACAGAGAAAUGUAGGGAGUCUUCAGCUGUAGGGAUACGGAAGGUGAUAGAGCAGAAAGAAAACAACUGAGAUGAAGUGAAGGAAAGGAGGCAGGGAGUGAGGGGAGUGCCUCUGAAGGUGAAGUGUGUACAAAACUGGCAAAAACAAACAAACAAAAAACAACAACAACAACAACAAACAGCAAGGAAGACCAUGGGGGAAAAUGUCAGGGAAUACAGAACAAGAACUCUGAGAAAAUAGAACUUGAUGGGAAGCUGAGUGAUAGAAGGCUGUGGGCAUAGAUGUGUCCAAGGUAUAGCUCAGUUAUUUAUCAAUGAUUUCUCUUAUCAUAAAACAACAAAACAAGAAAAUACAAAUCAUUGCUGGAAAACACGAGAUCUAGAAAGAGACACUGUUGCUAUCCAGAUUUCUAUACCAGUGCCAAACAUGAAGUAUGGUGGGAAGUAAAGGUACAAAAACUAUGGUCCUCUCUGUGAAUUCCCAAACCAGCCCUGAUGGGGUUGACUAGCAUUCCUAGCUUGUAAAAAGUGACUGAUUUGCCUGAGGAGUGCACUAAAUAUUAGGUACUUUCAAAGCAGGCCCCAGCAGGAGAAACACUGAAAAUCUUCAAGGGAUUGCAAAAGCUUUCUGCUUUGGGAACUAAGGAAUACAUCCAUUGCUCAGCACAAGGCACCACUGGCACUUCUGGAGUUGGCCACCUCAUUCGGCUCUGCAGUGGCCUGAGCAGAACUCAUUGACACCCGUUGCACCGUAUUUCCUGUUCUCUCUCACUCAACAAAGAGCUCACAUCUGAGCACAUCCUUGAAUCUGAGGGCAUCCUGUAACGGUGUCCUGCUCCUGAGUUCAUCAGCCAGAUUAGCUACAAAAUGCUAAUUGCACUUUGUAAAUGCAAUCCUGUAAAUGCAGGAUUGCUCCAGUGAUUUUGUUAGGAUCCUUAAUGUUUCUUUCGGAGUCUGAUGCUAGCUAUAGUUUUCACUUAUCUUAAGUGUCAGCGACUAAAUAAGUGUUGGUGGAGACAAUUCAAGGGAGGACUACAGAAGUAAGUAAGAGAUUAUAUGUUUAAAAGCUUAUUAAAUAAUUCGCUGUAACUAUCUAUCUCAGUGGAUUUUUGCUUUCUUGUCUUUCCUAGUAAAAGACAACAAAGAACAUGAACUUUACAAGUUGUUUCUUUUUUGGUUAAUCCUUAUAAGAAUGAAUGUUUUGUUCCAUAUUAUGCUUGAUGUUAUUCUGUGCAUCAUUCAUUUUUUAGAGAAGCAGUGUUGUCAUACAUGAAAAUCUUACAGUUACUCAUGCAUAGAAAAUUGGUGAGGUUAGCACAUAUGUAUAGCUGUAUAUCUAUACCAGAGUAACUGUGCAUGCAUGUGUGCAUAUACAUAUAUGCCCUUUUCACUUUUUAAAAAUAUUUUCUCAUUCUGUAAGCAGCUUGGGACAAUUUUUUUUUUUUAAUUUAUAUAUAUUUUUUGCCUUCAAAUAAAAUAAGUAUAGAAAGGAGACAUAAUCACAGUAUAUAUUUUGAAAAUAUGUCAAUAAUCUUGUCCUGGAAGGGCUUCGUGUAUUCAAUCCAUUUUUUCCUCAAAUUAUUUAGAGCAUAAAAUGCAUGAGAAUCUGGGUUGAUUCUCUCUGGGAAUUGAAGAAUGCAGUAUUACUGACUGUCCAGUGAGAAUUUUCCAAGCACAGAGUUACUCUACCUUUGUAUUCUUCCCAUAGGUUUGGCACUAACCAUCAUGUAUCUAAAACACAUGAAAUGUGGAGAUGGAAGCACUACUUGCAGGCACCACACAGAAUAUCUAAUUUCCCUGUGCUUGCAGUGUUAUGUCAUGGCCUGGUAAUGUACAUCUAGAAUACCUAGCAUUUGCUGAACAGUGCUUCCAGGUGUUGUUUUUGCAUGCCACAUAAUUGAAAUAUAACCAGAGUGCCUUUAAGAGACAGAUUAUCACCCAUGAAAUCAUGCCACUGCACUUUGCUUUUUUCUCACAUGUACGUGAUUGCAGUAACUAUAGUUCUAAGAAUUCAUUCAACUACUCUGUGACUGAUAGCAAACCUAGACUGUGUUUUCACAAAGCUUACUUAUUUGUGUACAGAAUAACAUUAUCCCAUUGUAGCUGCAAACUGCAUUCAUAUGGGCAUUAAGGCUGUUGUACAGCAGGUACUGUCAUUCAGAGGCAUCAUUUGACUCCAGCGACCUUUCUCCCCCCAAAAAAACCAAAGGGCUGCUGUUUAACUUAAUACUAAUAAUAUGCAUAUAUAUAUAUAUGUGUAUAUAGUUACUGAAUAAACAGCUUCACAGUUAUAGCUUCUGUGAUCACAACAGCAGGCUUCUGACUAGUAAACACAGAGCCAGACAACGUCAUCAGGAUAAUUGCUCCAAGUAGGCUUUUUUGCUUAUAAUCCUUUUCAGUCUGCAGAAGCAUUACAUAAAGACACUUCACUUAGGCAGGGCUUAAAUCAAGACAUUGGGUCAUUACAUGUUGAAAAUGUAAUGCUAAGGCUCCUAGCGAAAUGCAUUCUUUAAUUUUUGUGGAAUGAGAAAAAAUUAAAUGUGAUAACAAUCCUAAAAACUGAAAAAAGGAAAGAAGACGUGUUCACUGUGUUCUCAGAUGGUGGAGUCCUUGUGAAAUCAGUCCUAUUUUUGCAAUUCAAAUACAUCAUAAACACUUUCUACUCCCUUUGCCAGUAAGGCAGGAAAAAGUCAGUACCUGGAAGUAAAUACACUGAAAUCCAAGUUUUGGUGAAUAUAAUGAAGUAUCUGAGUAUACAAGAGUGUGUUUUUAUGUGCCAGUAUUGAUACGACUAUGGGUUGUUAUAUGGUGCAAGUUUGUGCAUUUCCACAGCAGAGCACCCUUGGUCAGAAGCUGAGCACUGUAAACAAUUCUCAAGUCACCUUUGCGCAAAAUUUGUCAGUCCAAAGAAGAAAAUAUAGAGAAUUUGUAAUAUUGUUGUUUAAAAUCAGAUACUUCUCCAUACAAAACACUGUGCAUUCUCUUGUGUCUGCCAACAUAAAAAAUACGUCUAAGGAUUCAAAAUAGAGGUUUGUCAUGGACCUUUCUUGUACAUCUUCUGCACAGCUUUUGCAGUACAGCAAACAGAUCAUUCAAUUAGGGUUCUCCUAUUUCUUUAGAGGAUUGGCAUUUAAAGCACAAGAACAGCAUCAUAUGGCUGAUGGAUAGCUAAAUGUAGCAUACAUAAGUAAAGCAAAGCCUCACACUGAGUCUAUGUACAGCAUACCCUUCUGCAGAUGAGUCAUCACAACAACUAAAAUGACAGUAGCCUCAUGACUGGCAAACUUCUCAAGCAUUUCCCAGAAAAUAUGUACAAGUGUUGGAGUCAGAAAUACCUGAGAACUGCUUUCAGUGCUUUAAUUCUUUUCAAGUACACUCAGCCCUGAGAACGUAUAAAUUCACUCACAGUUAAAUAAAAAUAUUUAUAGGUACACACAUAUCUAUCUCCAGAUGUGAGUAUGCACAGAAUGACGGAUGCAAACAUGUACAUCUUUUCCAGCCUUCUAAUUAACAAUCAGUAUAAAGUUAACAAAGUUUCAUGUGCGUUCUUCUCAGCAUGCUUGCUUUUGCAGUACCUAUUCAGGCAUGCAUGCUCACACAGCUUUUAGCAUGUGUUUAUAUUAAAACCUGCCUCAGAAAGGCCACGUUGCUGGGAUGUAGUUCUGCAAGACACCUUAUAUACAGAUGUCCUCCAAAUUUGGGCUAACCUUCCUCUGGUUUAUGGAUUGAGUGAACAAUCCUUCAAGAACUCCAAUUACACAAUUCCCAUUUUCUUCAACAGGAAUCAGAUAUUCAAAACACCUUUUAUUAUGGAGCCUGGCUAAGGGCAUCUUGCUCAUGUAUUCAUUCACCCAGGAGCAUUAGCUUUGGCUAGGGGAGGUGCAAUAUCAUAUUAAAUCAAUGUUUGCAAAGUAUCUUUGCAGCAAAGCACUGAAACAUCAAUGGAUCACAAGCACAGCAGGAUCAGCAUUGGGAAUUGGCUCUAGUCUGGGAAAGCCAGAGGAAGAGAACUGCAGUGGGAUCUGUUUGGAGGAUGCUGGCAAUACUGUUAGCCUGUCAGACCACUCAGUCUGUCCUCAGCCCUUCCCUCUGCAGCUUCCCCAUUCUACCUGCUGCUCAUUCUAUGCAAAACACCAUCAGGAAUUUGCAUAAUUAUGCAGAUUCAUGGUAAUUUUUCUGAGUUAUCCAGUGUGACGUUUAUAGGACAGCAGCAUGCAUCAAAUUAAACAAGAGUGACAAAAAUCUUAUCUUUUUCAUUUCUAUAGCAUUUGUAAUAUUUCCUUGCCCUCUUUGGGGAACAGGAUGAAUUGGUAGAAAUUUGAACAAAAUGUUUUAAAGAAACCUAGCUUUACUAGCAUGCCUCUUGAUGAAGUUAUUGGUUUUCAAGCUAUCUCUGGUAUGUGUGCAUAUACCUAAGGUGGUCUUACCUCAAUGUCACUUAUUACAAGAAAUGAAUAGAAGUCUGUCCGUAUAUAUUUUACAUUUUAUUAUGUUGACUACGGAUAAUAGCUAAAAGGUUUAUUUUCUUGGAAUGGCUUCUGAAAAUGAGUUUGAUCUGUCUAACUACCUCAGUAAUCUGAUCACCUACCGGAUAGAAAGAUUUAGCAAGCUUCUCCUCUCAUUUUUAUUUUGAGCACAGACUUGAGACAAAGAGAUUAAAUGACGUGCAGUUAGCUAUGGCAUACUGCAAUCACGUUCCAGAUCUGUUGCACAUCCCUGAGGCUUGGAUACAUUCUUUCUUGAAGAAAUUAAUUUGGAUCUAACCUAAAAAUUCCGUUUUGUAGUAAUUACCACGUAUGAUCAUUUUUGUUCUUCACAUUUUAAGUAGAUAGCACAUCCACUAGUCCUUCAAAUUCAUGAUGUGAUUUCAUUUGAAAUUAUUCAGGUUACUUGUGAAUGGAGGGGCAGUGCUCUCUGAGGCCUCAGAUACCAGUGGUAUUCCCUACACACCAGUAUGCAAUGGUGAGACUGAGAAGACUCACUUCUUACAGACAAACAAAAACAAACCUUGUAAAAUUGCCUGCUGUGUCUCAGAUAAUUACUGCAUAUUACCGUAGAGAUAAUUACUUUGCAAAAAAAUGUAUUUAUAUUAUUUUUACAGGACAAAACAUGCAGCAUCAGUACUGUAUGAAUCCUUCAGCCUUAACAGAGAUUAAUGUGCUGCUACACGACUAAAUAAAAAAAAUAUUGCAGAUCAAAUUAAAGAAAGCACAGCACUUUGGUGUCAAUUAUGUACGUUCUUAAUAGAUCUUACUGGCUGCUCAUAAAAUUUAAGAGUGCGCUUCACUGUGUCUUAAGUACCUACAUACACCGCUGCAUUUGCACUUAGGAAAAAAGCAAACAAACUUUUUUUUUGUCAUUUUCUUUAAUUUUUUAAGAUAUUUUCUAUGGAUUUUUUAACAGACAUAAACACGAUCCUUCCCUUCAUCUCUGAUGAGGAAGUGGGAGAGGACCUCACUGAAAGUCCUGUCUUCCAGUAUUGUGCAAGAUCUCAAAUUUAAUUGGGGAAAACAGCCAGAAGGUACUGAAACAAUGGAAUAAGUGGGAAGCCUUUGCUUUAUAUGACAUGGAGGUGCAAGGUGCCUUGUAUUUUACAUUUGCUUGUUUCUAGUGACUGCACAGGUACGCACUGCAAAUUUGACUGUGGCACACUGCAAACAAAACUUGCAGAUAUGUCUUUGCAUACAAAGGGAGUGUAAAAUGCUUUUCCCACAUACACAAGCACGUGUGUCUGGAAGCAUGCUCGGGUACAUGUGCAUCACAUCUGUACAAAGCAGUAUGGCCCCCACAUGUGGUAUUUUUAUAAUGGCAGGAUUUAUAAUCUGUCAAUGCAUUCAUGAAGAUCAAGAGAGUGUUUUAAGAUGCCCUUUUCAGAAAACAGUGAGUCACAAACAUAGGAAUAUUCUCUGUUUGCUUUGAGAAUAUGCUUUGUUUCCAGCAGACGGCAAGGUGUGCCUGCCCUGCCCCAUCCUCACCAGGAUCCAAGCCUGAAGACCUUGUGUGCAAACCAAGAGCUUUUCCAAGAGGUUCUUUGACCAAAGCAAUCACAAGAGCUCAAUUCUCUGACUAAUGAAAAUUAUCACAAGCUCAUAUGAAUAAAAUAUAAUAGGAAAAAUGACAUCAGCAAGGGCUCUAUCCUAUGUGCAUUUUCUAAUGGUACUCUACCCUCAUCAUAAGGUCAUCCUUUGAGAGGCAUGUGUCCUCUGCUCUUGGUGCUCAGAACAAGCUAAGUUUAAAAUCUGAGAUUUAAGAGCCAUGUUUAAGGGGAUACACCUGCUUAUACCCUGAUCCUGCAAGCCCCUGUGCAGCUUGCAGGCAGCACCAACAGCCUGUGUCCAGAUUGAUGGAGGAGCAGUUCUGAGAGCAGCACCUCAAGAAACUGUAACGUGUUCCUUUAAAUUAGUGAUGAGUCAAGGCAUUGCUCCAACUGUCACUCAAAGAGGAGGCUCCCUUUCAUUAAGAUUUUAUUAAAAUGUGGGGUUCUGAGUUUUUAUCACUAUCAGCUAUUAGGACUGGAGUUCUAUGCAUAACCAAAAUUGGUAACGAAAGUGAGGAGACGUUACAUUCUAAAUUCACUACGUGCCUACUCAUAUGUAACAGAUGCUUGCAUUUUUUAUGCUGCUUAGAAAAUACCACGUGAUGCAUGCAGCUGUUGGAAAAAAUGCAUCUCCCAUAUAAAUUCAUUCUUAUGCAUUUGUGUAUAGAUUUUCAAGGGUUGUUUUAAUUUGCUUUAAAUAACAUAUCUAAUGCAAUUUAUGGAAAGUAAAUUUCUAAAAUUAAAAGGGCACCUUUCACAAAUGCUGUGCAGCAGUUAUGAUAGAGAGUUCCUUUUGCAUCGCGAAGGAGCCGAACACAAUAAGUGGCAGGCAUCUGCCUGGUACUCACAUAAGCUAAAUUUAUAAGGAAUUAUAUUUAUUUAGAGUUGCUGCUGUUAAUAUCAGAGACUUUCACCUACAAGAGGAAGGCAAAGUUUCCUCCUGGAGCUCUGCAAUCCAAACAGCCACCAGGGCUCAACCCUGCACAGAGAGCUCCCUUGCUGGUUGCUCCCAGCACCCAACUGAUGGCCAGGGGCUUCCUGUCCUUCUGCCCCACGAGGUCCCAGCUGCUGCUGGCAGGCAGCCACAGCGCAGGGAAACGCACCCGUAAUAGCGCCCUGUAAAUUAACUUGACAUUUGAUGUAGGGAGGGCUGAGGGGGACUAAGAGCUUACAAAAGAUGUCAAAAACAAAAGCCACUCGAGACCUGCAUGACAUACAUUGCGGGCUUGAGAGAGAUACAGGGUGGUUAUUGCUCUGUGAGCAGUGUGCAGCCCGACCCUUCUUUGUUAAGACAAUUCAGUCACUCUUUGUUGAAGCCACAGCAUCCAUCACAUAAACAAAAAAAUACCAUUUUCCCAUUUUCCCAGAAGAGCUGCUGCAACGCCAAAAGAACCAAAUGCUACUGCCGAUGUGUGCUGCCCACUAUGGGCUUGGCUUCACUGCUUGACUUGGAAACGGCAAUCUUUAAAAAUCUGUCUUUAUUGAAAGAUAAAUUGAAACUAUUAGUAUUCUGCUAUGGAUUUUAAAGUGUGACGUGUAACUAAAUUAUAAAUAGUUUAAAUAUUUUGUGUACCAGGUUAAGCAUGUGAGAUAUGCAAGGAGUGUUACGUCUUCAAAAUAUUGGUAAAUGUUUCAUUUUUCCUUGCACUUGAAACUAGGAAUAUUUUUUCCUUUUUUCUCAUUUUUCCUUUUCUGUUGGUGUUGUUAAAAAGUACUUGAAUCAAGGAUGAAAUAUUGACUGAGUCUCUGAGUCUGCUUGCAAUAGAGUGCAAUAGGGUGCAGAGGGACACAGCAUCUUUAAGGUAUUAGACAUGCAGGAAUGUUAUUAUGCUCUAUUGUGUCUGCCUGUCCCCACCUCACUUCCUUUCUCCCACCUCUCUCUUCCUCCUCACUCUCCCCUCUGUCUUCCACACGUAUACAUGCAUGCGCACUUACAUACAUACAUACGUAUGUACAUAUGUACACUUGCAUAUGCGCUCCUCCUCUGCAGCGCAGACAACAGUAUAUCUUGCUGAUGAUGUCUGGCCUUAUGGCUUUACUAGCAACGUGUACCAGUAAAAUGCAUAAUCGUAACAUCCCCGCUUCUUGAUAUCCGUGGAUUUAUUUACAAGUCCCUAUGUUCUACUUUUUUUUUUCUUCCCUGUUUCUGUGGCUUAUAUUUCUGGCCUGCCCAUAUUCUCGCGGGAAUUUCAAAUCAGAAGCAAGAUAGAACUGGAAAAUAUUCUGUAAGGCAGCCUGCAUCUCCAUCAUUUAGCAGUGGGUUUUGUGUGUGUGAUUGCUCUUUUCUUUUUUCUUUUCUUUUCUUUUCUUUUCUUUUCUUUUCUUUUCUUUUCUUUUCUUUUCUUUUCUUUUCUUUUCUUUUCUUUUCUUUUCUUUUCUUUUCUUUUCUUUUCUUUUCUUUUCUUUUCUUUUCUCUUCUCUUCUUUUCUCUUCUUUUCUUUUACUUUCUUUUCUUUCUUUCUUUUUUUUAAGAGUCAGUUGGAAGGGUUUUAUGGAUAUAUGGAGAGUAUUUUGAUUGGCCUUUUUUAGUAUUUCACCUACUUAAGGUUCCAUAGUGUAAAAUAGCUGUAGUAAAAUGAAUUGGUUACAUAUAUAUGCUUGUUUAUAUGUAAAUGCACUGGAAAUGACAAAGUUGAUAAGUUUUUGUCAGAUUAAGCUCCACACUCUGACAUUGGCAGCACUAAGAUUCCGCACAAAAGAGUUAAAAUGCUAAAGAGUGAUUCAUUUCAGUGUUCCUUUUGGUAGCAUCUACAGAAAGGAUUUAACUAGUUCAAAAGGAAGUCAUUCAUACCCAGCUAUUUUUCAUGUCUUUAAGAUGGCCUUUCAUUAGCACCUUUUACAACUGCCAAAUGGACAUUGCCAUAUUGUAAACAGAAGGAUACACUGUAUUUCAUUAAUGAUGUAUUUUCCAAAUAUUUACAGACAAGGGCUUGCUCCUGCAAGAUCUCACACUUGUGUAACUACAUUUACAUGAGUAAACCUCUUUUUAUCAAUGGAUUGGUCAUGCGAGCAAUUUGUUGUAAGUGAAUUGGUGAAUCAGGCUCUAAAAUUGAAAAAUAGUCUUAAUAUGCUUUCAAUUUAUUAUUGUGGUAUAUUAUUCUUUCUUUCUCUCUUUCUUCUUAUUUCCUCAGGAAGUACUUUUGUGAACAAAUAAUUGACAAUCAGUUAUUUUCCAGUAGCUGAUAUUAAUUAAUUUUAGCGAGCCACAAUGAUAAAAAAACAACCCACAAUAUGUACUUUUCAAGUAAUAUCUACAUUUUUUCCCUAUUUUUAAUUUGAAGUGAGGAGAUAUUCUCUAUAAUUUCACUGUAAGUAAAAUACUAUUGCUCUUAACACAAGCAGGGACUCUACGAGAUUUAAUGACAGUAACAUCACUCACAAUGUUGAAAAUUAUGGUUAAUUUACAGUCAGAAGAAAGAUGAUUAACGUUAACGUUCUUCUGUCUGGGGUCUGAGGUUUUGUUUUCUUCUGUAAGUAAGCAUAGUGUUUUUGCAAGGCAUUGCCUCAGUAGUAAAGCAAUUUAGAGUACAGGAUAUUUUUAGACUACAUUCAUUUAAAGGAGGGGGAGGAAAAGGCCGUGCGAUAGGAUAUACAUGUAUUUGUAAUUCAUAUUGUUGCUCUGCUUCUAUUGUACUCUGAGCUUCCAUCAUGUCUGAGAUGGGGAGCUGGCAUCCAGACAGUGCAGCAGGGCAAGAUAAAAACCCUCAUUGCAAAUACAAAUACCAGGGCUUCUACCUCUCCUCUGUUACCCCUACUAAUUAUUACCAGGCUUCUAUUAUUUAAAAAAUAAAGGUAAAAAGCUGUAGGGUGGGGCAGUAUAUCUGGGCAGUAUGCUAAGUAAUGUUAUUAAUCCUUUAGGUCCAAAACAGAAUUCUUUUCAUUGUGGUCUUUCAAAAGCCUCAGUCUACAUUUCAAAAAGAUGACAGAAAAAUGAACUCGAAUGUGUAAGCAUUAAACAUUUAAAUUCUCUACUCCUUGGUCAUUAUACUGAUAGCCAUAUUUUACAUCUUCCCAUCCCCCACUCUACUUCUGCUGAUUUCAGUUCAUUUGCAUGGCCUCAUUAUACAUAUAGCCUUUGUUCUUCUCAUGCGGAGUACAAAAGGGUGACGAAGCAAAACCUAUAGACAGAGACCUUUCCUUUUUCUUUUCCUUAGAAUUUUUCCAACCACCAGAGAUGAAAAUUUCAUUUACCAACGUAAUUCAGUCUUAAAACAGAUGUAUGUUCUUGUUUAUAAAAUAAUAACAAACUUAUUACUAUUUUAAAAAAUGAAAAGCCAAUGUCUAAGCUGCCACACAAAAUCUUUGGUUUUAAUGAUACAUUCAGGUUUUCAAUUUUUAACAGGAUAAAUAAACUGACUAGUGACAUGUAACGAUUAAGAAGUAACCGUUUAUUUCUGACAAGUGAGAUAUCUACUAUAUAUAUAGCUAUAUUAAUUUUGAUAAUAAGGUGUUAUGAAAUACAUUUCAGAAUUUGGAAGUUAAGGCUCAAUAUGGGCAGUAAACCCUCCUUUCCAAAGGUUCCCACUUUCCUUGUAUCUCAAAACAAAAAGAUCGUAUCCCACAAGCAUGUUAUAUUCAUUUCAGAUUUUUCUUAUACUGUACCAAAUAUAUUUUGAUGGAUGGAAAUUCGAGUCUGAUUCAUCCAGUUUAAUUCACUGAUUUCAGUGUAUCUGCCCACCAGAGGGGAGGUUUCAGUGUCAGUUCCUUAAUUUCUGUCCAGAAGCAGCUGCUGUAGUUCUUAAUGUGACCCCCAUAGAAGGGCAUGGUCAAAUCCCAUUGGCUGCAACAAGGGGUACAACUGAGCCCACACUGAGGAAAGUACAGUUUAAUCAAAAUAAUAAUGAUAAUUUUGAUGAUGAUAUAUAAUAAUGACAUCUUUGUUCUUUAUAGGCUUCUGGGAUGUAAAAGGAAAGAAUAAUUUGGCUAUUUGAGUUCCAUCUUGUGUGAUACCAAGUACCUCCACUUCUGGGAUAUUCCUGGGAAAUAUGAGGUCAAUUAUUUGUCUAAUUUCCAAUAUUCUGUGGAAACAUUAAAUUAAUCAAAUACAAAUCUUUAAGCUUCUUUCUAAAUAACAAUAAUUUCUGUAGUCUUAAAAUGCAGUUCCACCAACCUCACUUCCGUCUUAGAAGACAAAAGUUGUUUCCUUUCUCAAAGGAGGAUGGGAAGUACCAGACAUCAGCAGGCUGAACAUGAGGCAGGUUCAUCCUGGCUUGUGCCAGAAAGAGUGUGGCUAACAACAGGACAAGAGAAGGAAUUGUCUCCUUGAGCGCAGUACUGGUGAGACCACACCUCAAGUACCAUGUUCAGUUUGUGGCCCCUCACUACAAGAAGGAUAUUGAGCUGCUUGAGCAAUGAAGAUGGAGAAGGGACUAGAAAACAACAUAUGAGGAACAGCUGUGGGAACAGGUCCUGUUUAGUCUGGAGAAGAUGAAACUGUGGGGAGACUCAGAGCUGCCACCAUGACCUGGCUCAAAGGCUUAUACUAUACAUACUUUAAAAUAAACUAAUGCACUGUGAGGUACUUUUAAUUGCUAUGCCAUUCUCACUCUGUUCCAAAUAUUUAUCGCCCUGAUCGCACAGAUCAUAUUUCAUAUCUUUCAAAUUUGGUGUGGACUUUCAUGAUGGAGUUACGGUGUCAGUGCAUAAAGGAAUAGCAACUGGCAUCAUCUACCUGGACUUGUGCAAAGCAUUUGACACUGUCUGGCAUGACAUCCCAGUUGCUAAAAUGGAAAAAAAUGGAUUUGAUGAACAGACUGGGUAAGGAGUUGGCUGGAUGGUCGGCCUCAGAGAGUUGGCUCUAUGUCCAAGUGGAGAGCAGUGAACAGUGGCAUUCCUCAGGAAUCAGUGCUAAGACCACUGCUAUUCAACAUCUUUGUAGAAGAUAUGGACAGUGGGAUUGAGCGCACACUCAGCAAAUUUUCUGAUGACACCAAGAUGAGCGGUGUAAUUCACAUGCUAGAGGGAAGGGAUGCCAUCCAGAGGACCUGGACAAGCUUGAGAGGUGGGCCAUGCCAACCCCAUGAAGUUCAGCAAGGCCAAGUGUAAGGUCCCACCAUCUGGUUCAGGGCGAUCCCAAGCACAAAUACAGAAUGGGUGGAGAAUGGCUUGAGAGCAGCCCUGAGGAGAAGGAUUUGGGGGAGUCUGCUGAUGAAAGACUCAACAUGAGCUGACAGCGUGCACUUGCAGUCCAGAAGGCCAACCAUAUCCUGGGUUGCAUCAAGAGCAGCAUGACCAGCAGGUUGAGGGAGGUGGUUUUGCCCCUCUACUCUGCUCUCAUGAGACUCCACCUGGAGUGCUGCGUCCAGUUCUGGGUCCCCCAACACAAGAAGGACAUAGAACUGUUCAAGUGGGUCCACAGGAGGGACACAAAGAUGAUCAGAGGGCUGACACACCUCCUCUAUAAGGACAGUCUGGGAGAACUGGAGCUCUUCAAUUUGGAGAAGAGAGUGCUCUUGCGGGACUUCACAGUGGCCUUCCAGUACCCAAAGGGUGUGUACAGGAAAGCUGGGGAGGGACUUUUUAUUAGGGCGUGUAGUGACAGGAUGAGGGGAAAGUGGAUUUCAACUGGAAGAGGGGAGAUUUAGACUAGAUAUUGGGAAGGAAUUCUUCUUGAGGGUGGUGAGACACUGAAACAGGUUACCCAGCAAGGCUGUGAAUGCCCCCUCUCUGGAAGCAUUCAAGGCCAGGCUGGAUGGGGCUUUGAGCAACCCGGUCUAGUAGGAGGUGUUCCUGCCAAUGUCAGGCGGGUUGAAACUAGAUGAUCUUAAAGGUCCCUUCCAACCCAAACCAUUCUAUGGUUGUAUAUGUGAGAUAUAGCCAUAACUCCUGUUCUCAUAACAUUUUUUUUGUAUGGGGCCUAGUCUACAAAACUGGAAGAUGAAGCCCAGGAGUAUGAAUCUGGGGGCUUAUAGUCCUCAGAGCAGGAAGCAAGCCAUCACAUCUGAACUCUGGCCUACAGGCUCUGGACCCAUGCCUGUAGGAAUUCUCCACAUGCAGACUCUCAAGAAAUUAAACUGUGCUCUCUGUGUUUCACAGAAGCUGUAAAUGAUAUAGAAAAGCCAAGCCUAGAGAUUUGGUCUCAAUAUGCAUGCUAUCAUGCAGGAUUCCCAACAGCCAUUCUUUGUUAUCAGUGCAUGUGAAAUACCAUUGGAAGGUUCUCUUCAGAAGAUGGGAGUUCCAGUUGGCUGCCUCAGAUGAGCUCUCACCAUGAACUAACAGGGGACCCUCAGAAUGACCUCCUUUCUCUGGUGUCCGCCUAGGAAGUCAAAGUAUGUUUCUCAUCCUACCAUAAAAGGUUAUUUUUGCAAACUUUUGAUCUGAGGUACCAAAGAAGCCCUUCCAGAUCUCACCCUAGCAGUUCUUCCUAUGAAGGUGCAAUAAUAUCAAACUCAAGUAUUAGAACCAGAGUUUACAGGAGCAGUUUUCAGUCAGAAUAAAGUCAGCAUGUGAGUAAAUAUGUAAACAACCAAGAAAAGAACUCAGCCUAUCAUAAUUCAAACAUUGUGAUAUUUCUGCUUCAUUGAGAGAUGCACAGACCAUAUCCUCAUCCAACUUAUUAUGGAAAAUCCUUCCUACACAAAAGGUACUCUCAAGUGACAGUUGUGGGAAGGGUGCCUUGGCACUGCCCUUGGGGGCUGAGGAUCUCAGUCUAUCUCUCCAGUCUUUCACCAGUGAACAUCCUGCUCCCAGCUGCUGAAAGAGACAUGCUGCAGAGCUUCAAAGCUCAACCCACAGCAAAAUGCUGAACUUCUAUGUGGCCUUUUGCAGUGCUGUUUGUCCAAUUGUGCAUUGCACAGAUGCCCUCCCUGGGAUUGUACAUCUGCUAAUUUGGGAGGACCAAGAUCCUGGAAGGUUGCCGACAGGGUGCUUUCCCUCAUUAAACUACCAUGAAGCUGACAGAAAUCAGUCAGCUGAGGAAGAAUUUCAGAGAGGAAAUGUGUCUGUGAGUCAUCAUGUGAUUCCAAGCUGGCAUUUCUGCAAAUAAAGCUGAGAUGAGUAAAACAAGCCUGAAAGUAACCCAUCCACACACCAUACCAUCCCAUACCUAUUCCCACCACAAGCUUAUGAGACUAGGAAAGCAAUCUCCUCUUGCAGUAUGUAAGUGAUUAUGAAGAGUGUCAAUUUGGGGAAUAUAGGGACAGAAGCGAAUGUAUAAUCAGUAGCAGAACAUCUGCUCAGGUUGCACAUGAUUAGGAAGUAAUACAAAGGUGUACAGCAUUUAACAAACCAAGUGACACAACUAGAAAAUGAACAGGGAGUUUAAGGAAUAGUAGAGGAAGUGUUGUGCACAAGGCCACACUAUCUUCUGCUGCAGUGAUUUGAAGGGCAAUUAGCUGGAGAAGUUAGCACCAGUUACAAGGCCAGAGUGAAAGAUACAAAGCAGAGCAAAGUAUCAACAACAAAUAAAGCAAUAAUAUAAGAGCUUUUUUAAGUAUAACAUAAACACAUAUCUCUGCUUGAAAAUUAUAUUCUGUAAAAUAUUAAAUAUUAUGUACAAUAACUAUUUUUGAUAUGCCUGUUAUUUAGAGGUACUUGAUAAACAGCUGUAAUAAAGAUUUGUUUAUUUGGCUAUGUAAGUAGCAUAACAUACUUCCCAUUUCGAACUGGACUCAUGCUAUAGCUGGAACACUCGUUUUUAUGAGUAUGAAUGACAAGUUUUGCUAAGAGUUAAAGUAGAUGAUCCUUAAGAGUCCCUUCCAGGUCAAGGUAUCCCAUGGUUCUAUGAUUCUAUAAUGCAUUAGAGAAAAUACUGUAUAAAAGCAAAUGCCGCUGUUUUCCUCUAAGUAGAUGGUGACAUUUUCUGAAAACAGAACUAAGCAAUUUUAUUCACUAAAUGCUAACGUACUGUUAGUCUGGACUGAAACUGUACAUUUAACAGUUCCAUCCUCAUUUUCCAGAAGUAAUUAACGGUGGCUGAGCUACCAGCAAAAGCCAUGGUGUCAUGACAGCUGGGAUGCUAAAUGAUAUGGAAUUAGUGCAUAUUAGUCAAUGACUUCCCUGUUGCAUUAGAUUUACUUUCUUGUAUUGGACACAUAAACAACACAAAGCUUUUAGCUAUUUAAUCACAGCAUUACAGUACAGAUUAUGAAGUAAUGCUGAAAAAAGCACCCUUGAAAAUAAGAGCAGAUCCUGCAGCCUUCAGACAGAAUUCUCUGCUAUUCUUGCUGCCCCUUGCUUAAAAAUGCACUAGAUGCUGUCUUCUCAAUUUAUUUCUAUACAUAUAUUAAUAUUUAUAGCAUUCCCUGAAUAGUGAAGGAAAUUAUAUAGAUCAUCUAAAGGGGAAAAGAAGCACAAUACAAACUUUAGAAUGUUGAUUUCAUAUAAUUAUAGAAUCAUGAAAUGGUUUGUAUUAGAAGGGACCUUAAAGGUUAUCAUGUCCAUCUCCCAUGGACAGGGAUGGGGCACUCAUAACUGCUCUGGGCAAUCCAUUUUAGUGUCUCAACACCCUCUAAGUGAGGAGUUUCUUCCAAAUGUCUAAUCUAAAGCUCUAGUUUAAAACAAUUACCUAUUUUCCUACCACUACACUCUCUAGUUUUCUUGUAGGCCCCCUUCAAGUACAAGAAGGCUGUAAUAAAGUCUCCCCAGAACCCUCUCCAGAUUGAGCAAGCGAAGGUCCUUCAGCCUGUCUACACAGGAGAGGUGGUCCAGACCUCUAAUCAUCUUAGUGGCCCUCCCUGUGGACCUGUUCCAACAGCUCCAUGUCUUUCUUAUGCUGGAAGCCCCAGUCCUGGAUGCAGUCCUGCAUAUUGGACCUCACAAGUACAGAGCAGAGAGGACAGUCAUCUCCCUGCCACUCUGGCCACCCCCCUCUUUUGAUGCAGUUCAAGAUACUGUUGACCUUCCAAGCUGCUAAUGUACACUGAUAGAUUAUGUCCAGCUUUACAUCCACCAGAACUCCAUAAGUCCUUCUUCUCAGGGCUGCUCUCAAGCCACUCACCAGCCAGGCUGUAUCUGUGCUUGAGACUGCCCCAAUUCAGAUUCAGGACCUUGCACUUGGCCUUACUGAACUCCAUGAAGGCCCACCUCUCAAGCCUGUCCAGGUGUUUCUAAAUGGUAUCUCUUCCCUCCUGCAUUUUAAUCACAACUUUCAGCUGUGUGUCAUCAGCAGUCUCGCUGAUGGUGUACCCAAUCCACCAUCCCUGUUUCCAACAAAGAUGUUACAAAAGAUGUUUACAAAAGGAAGGCACAUUUGGCUGUGAUUCAGGGGGAAAAAAAAGUCUAUUCCCUUCUUUUCUACACACACAGAAGACUUCUGCUUAUUUUAUAGCCCCUGUAGUUUACUGCUUAUAUAUUAACCCCUACAACUACUGUCAUAGGUAGAAAAUAAAUGCCCAAUUUGCAAGUGAAAUUCCCUUGAAGUUGCAAAACUCCAAUCCUGUCCAUCUACAGAAAGAAGCCAGGUGGGUUCAUAGCACAUUUUAAGGGUGGUGUCAAGCCCACCACAGUACCGGGAAUAGAGCCUGGUGAUCUCACUGCCCUGUCCACUAUGUACAGAAGGUGCCCAAAUUCAAUUAUUGGUGACUCCGUUUAUAUAAAGACACCUGCAUUACAGCUUUGAAGAUCUUACCUUCCACCUCCAUUCACUGAAUAAGUGAGAACUGUACGUAAUAACAUCAUAAGGGUUUCAAAGGAUACUUUAAUUCUUACACUUCAAAAGCUCGACUGCACAAUUCUGUCCUAAUGAAACUUUUGCUAUAUGGGCUUACUAAGAACUUCCAAAUUUAGAGCUUUCCAAGGUCUUUAUGCAGGGAAAGGGCUUGUCUUUUUAUCUUUAUCGCAUAUAUUCAUGCAUGCUAUCUCUUUUUCCAUAAAAUGAUGACAAAAAGGAGUAAUUGUUCACGUAACAUGUAUACCUUCCAAAACUGAUAGGAGUUUGUCUGAUAGUGCCGAGUAUUACUAAUCAGAAAAUUAAGAUUAAAAAUUGGUUAUGAUACGAAAAGAUACAAGAAGAAGGCAUUUGGGAUUACCUCUGAUACAUGUUGAACCAUUUGCUUUCAUCGUGGCUACUAAAAUAUGUUACAAAAUACAGGAGAGGUCAUUUUGUCAUGGGAUCAUUUAAUUUCAUUACUGAAGCUUACAAGCAGAGUGUGGUAGGUUGUGGUGGUGGUGGCAGCAUGCCAGCAGAAGAUGCUGCUUAUGUCACCACUAGGAAGGACAGAACUUUGCUCAGCAACCUUGCUUUUAAAAAAAAUUAUCCUUAUGUGGGAUAUACUUGAUUCUCUAUACACAUAUCUAUCAUUAAGUCACCACCAGAUUUACUUGACAGAACUUGAUGUGAAAUCCAAUGAGUUACACUGCAAUAAUGAAUUAGAUGACUGUCCUGAACUCAGUCAGCCAAAUUCUGCCUAGAUCCUUGUGCCUGUUCUUAUUAAGAGCUACCUCUGUCUUAUCGCUGCAGAGAAAGACCCCAGCCACCAGGAAUGGACUGUGCCUGGGUGAGGAACAGCCUCACUCCUGCUCAAAACAUACAACUUUGCAAAAAAAUGCUCAAGAUUCAUUAGGACACACAGAAAAAAAAAAUCUGGAAGUAACAGCAGCUAGUCCUGGACCUAUUUCAUCAAAAUAUCUGUUGGCCUUUUAUCAAAAAAUCUCCAUUCUUUGGAAAAUGAAAAAAUACCACAUCAACUCCAGACCUCUUACUGAUCCAAGUCAGCUCAAAUGGACACUAGCUAUUUUGGAAGACUAAGACAAACACAGUGCUACUGGUUAACAUGGUGAUUUUCACUGUAUCCCCAUGAGUUUAGACAGGGUCACAAUGACAUUUACAUGAAACUUCAGCAAAGCUGCUCCUGAGGAGCACUCAUACAGCACAGCAAGGCAAUCUGCAUUCCUAUGUGUUCUCUGUAGUUAAACGAAGGUACUCACUUUUCUUCUAGAAUGUAUGUUUUUUUCUUUGCAGGAGACUUUAUUUUACUGCUUUACUAUUUUACUUAUUUUAGUUACGCUACUGUUUCCAUUAUUUACAUUUGUACUGUAGAAGACCACUGAGCUACACAUACUUAAGAAGAGAUCACCAAAAUCAGUCUGAGAUCUCAUUAGCACUUUCACAGAGUAAGAGUAGGGCUAUAGUUAAAAAUACUGAGGAGAUUAAGUAUUUCACUGAAUUUAAAUAGGUGAGAUGCUGCUUAAAUGAAGUAUGAAAUUGUCAAGGCAUUUGUGUUACAGAAUAUUGUUCUCUUUAAGCACACACAUCAGAACAGUGUAAGUCAUUAAUUUACUUCUAGAAGAGGCCACCAGAAAUUAGAGAGGGAUGUGCUUAUAUGUAUAUACAUAUAUUUUUAAUUUAUAUGUGUAAUUCCUCUUAAAUAAUGGAAACUGUAUAUAUACGCACUCUGAUGCACUUCAGCUUGGCAACAAGAAUGAAAUCUAGACAGCUGUUAGAAAAUGCAGCAGCAUUUUUCUGUAAAAGAUGUGAAAAAACCUUGAUUCUCACAAGUGAGUACUAGCAUAUAAGACUUUCACUGAGUUUGUUAAUGAGUUUUUGAUAGCUAGAUCAAAUAUGUGAUAAAGUUGCAAAAAAAUCUUUGUUCAAGCUUUUUUCUUUAAAAAAGAUAUAUAUAUAUAUAUAUUUCUUUUUCCAUCUAUAUUUCUGAAGUCAGGAUUUUUUUGCUGUUAGGAACCCGGAUUUUCAGCACAUGAUUUACAGAGCUCCCACUGAAAUCAAGACAAACUUCUGAAGUUGCUGAACAUGAAGGAUUUGUGUCAUUUGCAAUAUGUUUCAGGAUUUUUAAAUGUGUUUUUGACAAUAAUUUGAGUGCCUUUAUGGAGGUUUUUAAUGAGUAAUUGAAAAUAUGAAGGAUAUUCCCACACCCAAAAAAGGCAAAAAAAAAAAGAAUGUAAUCUACUCAUAGUAUUAUUAAAAUCAUGCUGACUUGGUAUUGCUAAAAUAAUUGCAGAAAUGGUAUUUCAUUUUACACUAGAGACAUCUUAACAACCAUUCAUCAUACUAUACUAUUGUCAACACAGUCAAUUUUUUUUUUUUAAAUACUCUAAAGGGAGAAACAAUUAGUGAAAGUCAUUACAUAAUAAUUAAUAUCUUCAAUUAAUACCUAGUCAGGCUGUUACCCAAAGUGACAAGGGCAUACAUAACUAAUGCAACCUUAAGGAAGCAGAAUGAGGCAGAUAUUUCUCAGACCUGAGUACAUUUUCUGCUGCUUUUGAGCUGUAGUCAUUUAAAGAAAACAUUUCAAAAGAACAUUCUCCAGCAAAAAAAAAAAAUUAGUUUUCAUGCAUAUCGCUUGGCAAAUCGUACUUGACUUACUUAUGUGUACAAGUCCCAGUAGGGCUGCUUCUGCCCUCGUUUUAGAUCAGGCUCAUUCUGAUGCAAAAUGAUUGCAACUGAAACCUCCUCUCGUGCACUCCAGGUUAAAGGAAAAUGGGAUUUCAGUGCUGCUGUAUUUGACGUUAUGCCGUGUUGGUGGGUAAACAACUACCUAUCCUUCGCAAUGACUUCAAGAAGGUGCUUCACGGUAGCAGAAUUCUGGGCUACCACUAUUAGUAAACCUGUCCACCUCCUAGAGAAGCUUUUGUUCUGCUGAAUAAAUACUCCUUGGAGAGAAAUGUGUGCUUGCCAUGCCUUGUGGAGCAAUGUCCCAGGGGUUACCCAUUCUCCUUCUUCUUUUGGCUGCAGGCGUACAGAACAUUUGCUGGGCUUGACACUGUCAGUACAUGGUCAGCUGUACAUACAUCACUUCGGAUUUCUUGCAUUUCAGUGGUAUUACCUUAGAUUGCUAGAGGAGACCUCAUGCUGUUCUAAUUCCAGGAAUAAUUCCAAACUGAUAUCUCGUUCAUUCUCUUCAGGAACGUAAGUCACUAUCCACGCACUGCUC
ensembl:lncRNA